CACGGUUAUGACGAGUGCUUUCUAAGGAGAAUCUUUGAACAAGUUAAGAGGACUUUGAGAGAAGGACUGGAGAAAGAAAAUCAAGAUGAUAAUUAUCUGCCGGUUCCAUACCACCUUAACAACCUUAAUAUUGUACAUAAAAUAGCCAAGAAAAGUGGCAAAAAAGUGGGGUUUCAAAGAAAUCCAACAGUAUUUGAAGUCCUGCCUAGUGAGAAGGAUCCGCUCCGACAAGAUGAGAAGAGGGGUGUGUACAGAAUACCAAUGGUAGAGAAUAACGAGAACACGGAAAAGGCGUAUAUAGGGGUUACCUCUAGGACCAUUGGUAGAAGAAUAGAAGAGCAUAAGCGGGACAUACGACUAGGGAAACUAAACACAGCAUUGGCGGUUGAGACUUAUAAUAAGGAUAUUAAUGUUAAUUGGAAAAGUGUGAAGCAGAUAAAGGAUCUGAGGAAGGGUUCGAUGCCGGUCGUUGCGGAGUCGCUGGGGGUCUUACGGAGGGUGGGAGGUGAGGGCUUGAUUGGUGAUGGGAUGACUUGGA
rnacentral:lncRNA from 1 species